rnacentral:rRNA from 1 species
GAUGAACGCUGGCGGCGUGCUUAACACAUGCAAGUCGAACGGGAAACCUUUUAAUGAAGCUUCGGCAGAUUUAGCUGGUUUCUAGUGGCGGACGGGUGAGUAACGCGUGGGUAACCUGCCUUAUAUAGGGGGAUAACAGUCAGAAAUGACUGCUAAUACCGCAUAAGCGCACAGGACCGCAUGGUCCGGUGUGAAAAACUCCGGUGGUAUAAGAUGGACCCGCGUUGGAUUAGCUUGUUGGUGGGGUAACGGCUCACCAAGGCGACGAUCCAUAGCCGGCCUGAGAGGGUGAACGGCCACAUUGGGACUGAGACACGGCCCAGACUCCUACGGGAGGCAGCAGUGGGGAAUAUUGCACAAUGGGGGAAACCCUGAUGCAGCGACGCCGCGUGAAGGAAGAAGUAUCUCGGUAUGUAAACUUCUAUCAGCAGGGAAGAUAGUGACGGUACCUGACUAAGAAGCCCCGGCUAACUACGUG